rnacentral:pre_miRNA from 1 species
GGACUCAUUGGAUUCGUCUCAAUGAGACGAGUCGAAUGGUGGUAAGAUCACGUCUCUAGCAUUGAUAGAUAGCUUGCUAAUUCCAAUUAUUUAUAAAUCAUUUAGCGUGGGUUAAUGUGUGAUGUAUUGAUGCUAGAGACAUGAUUUUACCACCAUUCGACUCGUCUCGUUGAGACGAAUCCAAUGAGUCC